UUCAAUCCUUUCUUACUCCAUGCUUGAAAUUUUGCAGGUCAAUUUUUNAUUUUGAAUCUAUCAAGAAACUGCUGUCCUCUCCNAAGUUCACUUUCUGUUAUGAUGCNCUUCAUGGGGUUGCUGGAGCAUAUGCAAAGAGUAUUUUUGUGGAUGAACUUGGAGCACAAGAAAGCUCUUUACUGAACUGUACACCUAAGGAAGACUUUGGAGGAGGACACCCAGACCCCAAUUUGACUUAUGCGAAAGAGUUGGUUGCUCGAUUGGGAUUGGGCAAAUCAGAACCACAAGAUGAGCCCCCAGAGUUUCGUGCUGCUGCUGAUGGUGAUGCA